UACGUAGGGGGCAAGCGUUGUCCGGAUUUAUUGGGCGUAAAGAGCGUGUAGGCGGCCAGGUAGGUCCGUUGUGAAAACUCGAGGCUCAACCUCGAGACGCCGAUGGAAACCAUCUGGCUAGAGUCCGGAAGAGGAGAGUGGAAUUCCCGGUGUAGCGGUGAAAUGCGCAGAUAUCGGGAAGAACACCCGUGGCUAAGGCGGCUCUCUAGUACGGUACUGACGCUGAGACGCGAAAGCUAGGGGAGCAAACGGG
rnacentral:rRNA from 1 species